AGUGCGAAGACUUUUCGACAAGUUGGAUUGCGCACUCUUCCCGUCGCCUGAAAUACCAUAUUAAGCCUUUGCUGAUUUCGAAAGGGUUCAAGACCAAAGG